rnacentral:rRNA from 1 species
UACGUAGGGUCCGAGCGUUGUCCGGAAUUAUUGGGCGUAAAGGGCGCGUAGGCGGCAUGGCAAGUGGAUGGUGAAAUCCCUCGGCUUAACCGAGGAACUGCCGUCCAAACUGCUUCGCUUGAGACCGGGAGAGGUGAGUGGAAUUCCCAGUGUAGCGGUGAAAUGCGUAGAUAUUGGGAGGAACACCAGUGGCGAAGGCGGCUCACUGGACCGGUACUGACGCUGAAGCGCGAAAGCGUGGGGAGCAAACGGG